GUGGGGAAUAUUGCACAAUGGAGGAAACUCUGAUGCAGCGACGCCGCGUGAGUGAAGAAGUAUUUCGGUAUGUAAAGCUCUAUCAGCAGGGAAGAAAAUGACGGUACCUGACUAAGAAGCACCGGCUAAAUACGUGCCAGCAGCCGCGGUAAUACGUAUGGUGCAAGCGUUAUCCGGAUUUACUGGGUGUAAAGGGAGCGUAGGUGGCAAGGCAAGCCAGAAGUGAAAACCCGGGGCUCAACCGCGGGAUUGCUUUUGGAACUGUCAUGCUAGAGUGCAGGAGGGGUGAGCGGAAUUCCUAGUGUAGCGGUGAAAUGCGUAGAUAUUAGGAGGAACACCGGAGGCGAAGGCGGCUCACUGGACUGUAACUGACACUGAGGCUCGAAAGCGUGGGGAGCAAACAGGAUUAGAAACCCCAGUAGUCC
rnacentral:rRNA from 1 species